UACGGAGGGUGCAAGCGUUAAUCGGAAUUACUGGGCGUAAAGCGCACGUAGGCGGUUUGCUAAGUCAGCUGUGAAAUCCCCGGGCUCAACCUGGGCACUGCAGUUGAAACUGGCAAGCUAGAGUAGGGUAGAGGGGUGUGGAAUUCCAGGUGUAGCGGUGAAAUGCGUAGAUAUCUGGAGGAACAUCAGUGGCGAAGGCGACACCCUGGACUCAUACUGACACUGAGGUGCGAAAGCGUGGGGAGCAAACAGG
rnacentral:rRNA from 1 species